CCGUCCGUAGCUCAGCUCGAAUGGAGCACCCGCCUCCGAAGCGGGAGGUCGUGGGUUUGAAUCCCGCCGGACGGACCA
rnacentral:tRNA from 2 species